CAGCAGCCGCGGUAAUGCGAAGGGGGCUAGCGUUGUCCGGAAUUAUUGGGCGUAAAGGGCUCGCAGGCGGUUUCUUAAGUCUGAUGUGAAAGCCCCCGGCUCAACCGGGGAGGGUCAUUGGAAACUGGGAAACUUGAGUGCAGAAGAGGAGAGUGGAAUUCCACGUGUAGCGGUGAAAUGCGUAGAGAUGUGGAGGAACACCAGUGGCGAAGGCGACUCUCUGGUCUGUAACUGACGCUGAGGAGCGAAAGCGUGGGGAGCGAACAGGAUUAGAUACCCCAGUAGUCCCUGUCUCUUAUAC
rnacentral:rRNA from 1 species